rnacentral:rRNA from 1 species
GAUGAACGCUGGCGGCGUGCCUAACACAUGCAAGUCGAACGGAGUCCAGCCUUAGAGACCUUCGGGUCAAAGAGGGGAAGACUGAGUGGCGGACGGGUGAGUAACACGUGGGCAACCUGGCUCAUAGAGGGGGAUAACAGAGAGAAAUUUCUGCUAAUACCGCAUAAGCACACACUGCCGCAUGGCAGAGUGUGAAAAGAGAAUCGCUAUGAGAUGGACCCGCGUCUGAUUAGCCAGUUGGCAGGGUGAGAGCCUACCAAAGCGACGAUCAGUAGCCGAUUUGAGAGGAUGAACGGCCACAUUGGGACUGAGACACGGCCCAAACUCCUACGGGAAGCAGCAGUGGGGGAUAUUGCACAAUGGGGGGAACCCUGAUGCAGCGACGCCGCGUGAGUGAAGAAGUAUUUCGGUAUGUAAAGCUCUAUCAGCAGGGAAGAUAAUGACAGUACCUGAAUAAGAAGCCCCGGCUAACUACGUG